rnacentral:rRNA from 1 species
AACGAACGCUGGCGGCAUGCCUAACACAUGCAAGUCGAACGAGAUCUUCGGAUCUAGUGGCGCACGGGUGCGUAACGCGUGGGAAUCUUCCCUUGGGUUCGGAAUAACUCAGAGAAAUUUGAGCUAAUACCGGAUGAUGUCGAAAGACCAAAGAUUUAUCGCCCAGGGAUGAGCCCGCGUAGGAUUAGCUAGUUGGUGGGGUAAAGGCCUACCAAGGCGACGAUCCUUAGCUGGUCUGAGAGGAUGAUCAGCCACACUGGGACUGAGACACGGCCCAGACUCCUACGGGAGGCAGCAGUGGGGAAUAUUGGACAAUGGGCGAAAGCCUGAUCCAGCAAUGCCGCGUGAGUGAUGAAGGCCUUAGGGUUGUAAAGCUCUUUUACCCGGGAUGAUAAUGACAGUACCGGGAGAAUAAGCCCCGGCUAACUCCGUG